CGCCGCACGGCACCGCGACGCUUUUGAAAACCGUCGUGGCGCGAGCCACCGUGGGUUCAAAUCCCACACCCA
rnacentral:tRNA from 1 species